AGAGUUUGAUCCUGGCUCAGGACGAACGCUGGCGGCGUGCUUAACACAUGCAAGUCGAACGAGAAUCUACUGAAAGAGUUUUCGGACAAUGGAUGUAGAGGAAAGUGGCGGACGGGUGAGUAACGCGUGAGGAACCUGCCUUGAAGAGGGGGACAACAGUUGGAAACGACUGCUAAUACCGCAUGACGCAUAGAGGUCGCAUGAUCUUUAUGCCAAAGAUUUAUCGCUUCAAGAUGGCCUCGCGUCUGAUUAGCUGGUUGGCGGGGUAACGGCCCACCAAGGCGACGAUCAGUAGCCGGACUGAGAGGUUGAACGGCCACAUUGGGACUGAGAUACGGCCCAGACUCCUACGGGAGGCAGCAGUGGGGAAUAUUGGGCAAUGGGCGCAAGCCUGACCCAGCAACGCCGCGUGAAGGAAGAAGGCUUUCGGGUUGUAAACUUCUUUUAAGAGGGAAGAGCAGAAGACGGUACCUCUAGAAUAAGCCACGGCUAACUACGUGCCAGCAGCCGCGGUAAUACGUAGGUGGCAAGCGUUGUCCGGAUUUACUGGGUGUAAAGGGCGUGCAGCCGGGUCUGCAAGUCAGAUGUGAAAUCCAUGGGCUCAACCCAUGAACUGCAUUUGAAACUGUAGAUCUUGAGUGUCGGAGGGGCAAUCGGAAUUCCUAGUGUAGCGGUGAAAUGCGUAGAUAUUAGGAGGAACACCAGUGGCGAAGGCGGAUUGCUGGACGAUAACUGACGGUGAGGCGCGAAAGUGUGGGGAGCAAACAGGAUUAGAUACCCUGGUAGUCCACACUGUAAACGAUGAAUACUAGGUGUGCGGGGACUGACCCCCUGCGUGCCGCAGUAAACACAAUAAGUAUUCCACCUGGGGAGUACGAUCGCAAGGUUGAAACUCAAAGGAAUUGACGGGGGCCCGCACAAGCGGUGGAUUAUGUGGUUUAAUUCGAAGCAACGCGAAGAACCUUACCAGGGUUUGACAUCCUGCUAACGAAGUAGAGAUACAUUAGGUGCCCUUCGGGGAAAGCAGAGACAGGUGGUGCAUGGUUGUCGUCAGCUCGUGUCGUGAGAUGUUGGGUUAAGUCCCGCAACGAGCGCAACCC
rnacentral:rRNA from 1 species